rnacentral:rRNA from 1 species
ACCUGCCCACUGAAAAAUUUUGAAUGGCCGCAGUAAUUUGACUGUGCAAAGGUAGCAUAAUCAUUAGUUUUUUAAUUAAAAGCUUGUAUGAAGGGUUGGACGAGAUAAAAACUGUCUUUAUUUAAAUAAUAUUAGAAUUUAAUUUUUAAGUUAAAAAGCUUAAAUUUAUAUAAAAGACAAGAAGACCCUAUAGAUCUUUAUAUUAUUAAAAAUAAUUUUAAUUAAGAUUAUUUAAUUUUUUAUUUUUUAUAAUAUUUUAUUGGGGUAAUAAAAAGAUUUAAUUAAUUCUUUUUUAUAUUUUACAUUAAUUAAUGAAUUUAUGAUCCAUAAUUUUUGAUUAUAAGAUUAAGUUACCUUAGGGAUAACAGCGUAAUUUUUUUAGAGAGUUCAUAUCGAUAAAAAAGUUUGCGACCUCGAUGUUGGAUUAAAAAUUAUUUUAGGCGCAGAAGUUUAAAGAUUUGGUCUGUUCGACCAUUAAAUUUUU